GAUGAACGCUAGCUACAGGCUUAACACAUGCAAGUCGAGGGGUAACGAGAGGAAAGCUUGCUUUCCUCGUCGACGACCGGCGCACGGGUGAGUAACGCGUAUCCAACCUGCCCCCAACUAGGGAAUAACCUUGCGAAAGUAAGACUAAUACCCUAUAAUUUCCUCAGAUGACAUCUGACGAGGAAUAAAGAUUUAUCGGUUGUGGAUGGGGAUGCGUCUGAUUAGCUUGUUGGCGGGGUAACGGCCCACCAAGGCAACGAUCAGUAGGGGUUUUGAGAGGAAGGUCCCCCACAUAUGAACUGAGACACGGUCCAAACUCCUACGGGAGGCAGCAGUGAGGAAUAUUGGUCAAUGGGCGGAAGCCUGAACCAGCCAAGUAGCGUGCAGGAUGACGGCCCUAUGGGUUGUAAACUGCUUUUAUACAGGAAUAAAGUUAGCCACGUGUGGUUAUUUGUAGGUACUGUAUGAAUAAGGACCGGCUAAUUCCGUGCCAGCCGCCGCCGUAA
rnacentral:rRNA from 1 species